UAUUUAUAUAUUGUAUUUAUGUAUUUAUUUGUAAAUGUAUUUACUGUAAACUCUUAUUAAAGAUAAAGUAAGUGCAGAUUGUUGUUAGUUAUUUAUCUUUUUAGGUGGCAGCAGGAUGGGGGCAGGUCAUGACGUGGAAAGGAGACUCUCUGCUUGCAGGCUUCCUGUGACGUAGCUUCCUGUGUUUGACUGUGUUUUUAAACAAACUUUACUAUUUAUCUCUCCUUUUUUCCUCUUUUAAUAAUCCUAAAUAGUUUUUGUCUUCCUGUCUUGUGCCUGUAGUUAGUUAACUCGACUAUCACUAGUGUUGACUAUAUUCAUUCCCUCUCACUUUAUCACAUCUUUGAAUCUUAACUCUAUCUGCUUGUUUGAGUUGCAAACGGUGGAGCUGAAGAUGGAGGCUUUGGAGAAACAGGCAAAGCAUGCCCAGCUGCGAGAGCGGAAAGCGGCGCUGGAAACAUCCCGGGCGGACGCUCACUCGUCCCAGAUAUGGCUGAAUCACAGCUGCUAAAGAACAUAGGGGAUGUGAUAGCAGGAGUGCUUCGGACCUUCCUGAUCAACUUGUUAAGUCCGUUGAAGAUACUUUGAAAACACUUGGUGCAGCAACCACAGAUAAUUUAAAGAACAUCACAGAAAACGAUUUGCUGCCAGUGUUAAAGCCCAUACAAGCACGAAGACUGGAUGCUGCCUGGACCCAAAAUAUCUCCGGGACUUCAACACCAAAAUCUGUGCAUUCAUCUCCAGUGGUUGUCUUUCCCUCUGCACCCUCAAUUUCUUCUUUACCAGCAUCAUCCACCUCUACAUCAUCUUCAGGAAUCUGUACACCAUUAAUACCAAACUGCUUAGAGCGAUUUGAAAUCCCAUGGCAGAGGCUCCCUGAGGAGUUAAUACAGAACUUGGAAAGACAGAAAAGACCAAGUGCAAGACAACGAAGAGAAAUGGUGAGGAUCGUGGUCUCUGAAAUGAUGAAGAUUUGCAAGAAUCCGACCAAACACAACUUCUCAAGCUUCAGACUGAAAGAGGUCAGUCCAGUGUUCGUUUCCAAGAAGUCAUUGAGAUGCUGCUUCUUUUACUGGCUCAUUUUGAUGAGAAGGAAGAGCUUCUGUUCCACUGUGUUGAGACGACAAGCCUUGCAGAGGAUGUUCAGAUGGAGAAAGUGCCACCAACACCCUUCAUUAUUGUUUGUGGUUCCUCCUGCUUCGCUGCUGAGACAUUCAUGUUGAGCAUCGACAAGAAGAUUGUCAACGACCACAUCACAACCUUCACCUCCGCCAUCUGCCUGAUGUUUGGCAGUUAUUACUGCUUUAACAUACACUACCCAGUGGAACUACGAUCAACACUGGAGUUUCUCCAACGCUAAUAUUCUGUUUUUAUGAACACCUUUUAUGGAUUUAUCAAACGUAUCAAUUUGAUAUCCAUCUCAGGUUGUUCAUUUUCUCAAUCUUUCUCUCACUCUAUUUUUUUUUCCAUAAAGGUUUCUUUUCCAUAAAUCCUGAGAGGCACCGAGGUUGAAUCCAAGAAGAAAAAAGUGUUCAGUCAAUCCCAGAGUCCUCACUCUCAUCUCAGACAUUGCUGAUCAUGAGUGGAUCUAGUGCUCCCCCUCUUGUUGUGGACAAUGUGAUAAAGUUGCAGUAGAGCAGGAGAAUGAACCGGUUUGCUGAGAAGUUCAAAACAACCAACGUUCUUCUAGCAUGGAUUCAUUCAGCGAUGUUCGCCCCUGCCAGCGUGGCGUUGGUGGUAUAGUGUCAUUUAGUUGAAUCUUCUGAGGAGAAGUGGGUUCCACACACCAGCUAUCAACCAGAAAAGAGGUUCAAGCAGUCUCCCAACUCAGCACCUGUUUCAGCUCUACCAGUAAGAGUGAAGGGGCUGGAUGUUCUCUGGUUCAGGCAAACGUUCUUGUAGUUUUAUUAUGGAAAAUAACCUAAAUAUAUUACACAAAUGCUUAACGUAUAAUGUAACGGUGUGUUUUGGGAAGACUAUUUUAAGGAAUGUAGUGAUAUUUUGCAAUGAGCUCAGACAGCUAACGUGCUUCAUUUGAAGGUCAUGUUCAGUUCACUUUGUAAAAUUUGAAUGAAAUGUUUUAAAAUACACGAUUAUUGUGUAAGUUAUAGUUAUUACAAUAAACUGUAUUUAAAUGGGUUGUGGGUUGUGGAAGGAGUUUAUAGAAUCUUUAGUAUUUAAGUCAAAGAAUCAUACAAAAGCCAUAUGAUACACAGUCAUACACCUAAUGCUAAUUACAAAUGCUAAAUUGAGAAUUAAUCUUUCUUUGUGGAUAAAUCUUUGCUUGAUUUGCGUUAGAGGACGGCUUAAAGACCAGACAGAAUCCUCUGCCAGCUGGUCAGUUACAUUUCACCGUCCUCGUUCUCCUUUCUGUGAAUCAGUUUUGGCUAACGUUAAUGCUAAACACGUGAUUAUUGAGUUAUAGUUAUAGGGGAUUCUUAGCCUUGUUAACCCUGUGGUUAUUUAUGAUCUUAGAUGUACAACAUAACGUGCUUCACAUAACAUCCGGUCUAAAACACAGAAAAUAUAUCAUCAUGUUGAAUUAUCAGCAAAUGUCUAGUAUUUCAGAAGCUUAGCGUGGUUGUGAUCACCUCUGCUUCACACACAAAAGUGGUCGUAAAACAAUAAGGAGAGACAAAAGCCCCAUGUGCUAGGUGGCCAAGUUUUUAAAUAAAAAAAUACAAUGAAAGUAAAUAUAAAGUAACCAUAUCCUGUUAGAGGGAAAUAAAUUCCACCAUUAGGGUUCUCUUAACUGGUUUCAUUGUGUAGUGGUUAACAUGAUUUUCAAAGCCCUUUUUCUCACUCUGGAUAUAUACAGUUCUUGAAAAGUGGGCAGGGGGACACCGAUAACCAUUGCAGCCGUCUAAACUGUCCUCUGUAGUCCUCUGAUGUCUGAUUUUACAGCUGAGCAGAACCAGACAGUUAUUAAAGCAACUCCUGUUGAACUUUCUAAGCUGGUGAAGGAAGUACAUACUCUGUUAAGCC